GAGGUUAAAGGUUUUUCGCCUCAAGAUGAGUCCGCGUGAGAUUAGCUAGUUNGUGGGGUAAUGGCCUACCAAGGCGACGAUCUCUAACUNGUCUGAGAGGAUGAUCAGUCACACUGGAACUGAGACACGGUCCAGGCUCUAACGGGAGGCAGCAGUAGGGAAUAUUGCANAAUNGAGGAAACUCUNAUGCAGCGACGCCGCGUGAGUGAUGAAGCUUCGGGUCGUAAAGCUCUGUCGCNNGGGAAUAACNCAAUGAAGGUACCCUGUAAGAAAGGAUUAAGUCAGAGUGAAAGCCAGGGCUCAACNNUNGAAGUGCGUUUGAAACUGUGUAGCUUGAGUCCUAGAGAGGUUACUAGAAUUCUUGGUGUAGUGGUGAAAUACGUAGAUAUCAACAGGAAUACCGGNNGCGAAGGCGGGUAACUGGCUAAGCACUGACACUCAGACCCGAAAGUGCGGGGAUCAAACAGGAUUAGAUACCCUGGUAGUCCGCACCGUAAACGAUGGAUACUUGUUGUUGGAGGUAUUGACCCCUUCAGUGACUGUACUAACGCGUUAAGUAUCCCGCNNNNGGAGGGAGGAAGGUGGGGAUGACGUAAUGUCCUCAUGGCCCUUAUGCCUAGGGCUACACACGUGCUACAAUGGCUGGCACAGAGUGAAGCUAAUUCGCAAGGUAGAGCAAAUCACUUAAAAGCCAUCUAAGUUCGGAUUGAUCUCUGAAACUCGAGAUCAUGAAGUUGGAAUCGCUAGUAAUCGCGGAUCAGAAUGCCGCGGUNAAUACGUUC
rnacentral:rRNA from 1 species